AUUGAUAUUGUUGCAGAGCUGCAAUUUUAUAAUCCCAGGAUCUCUGCUGGUAGAAUGCAAUAACCAAGUACAAAGCUGGAAGCAGGCAAUAUUCCCAAAUCCUCCCAAGAACCAGACGAAACACAGUCUGAGAGUCAACUGCCACUUUAUUCAAAAAGACUGAUAUUUAAAGCAGGUCACUCAACUGUCACUUUAUUCAAAAAGACUGAUAUUUAAAGCAGGUCACUCAACUGUCACUUUAUUAAAAAUAAC